rnacentral:misc_RNA from 1 species
UGUGGGAGGGGGCUUGCUCCCGAUAGCGAUGUUUCAGCUAACGAAUACUUGGCUGAAAGAAUGCAAUCGGGAGCAAGCCCCCUCCCACA